GGGCUACACACGUACUACAAUGGUAGGGACAGAGGGCUGCAAGCCGGCGACGGUAAGCCAAUCCCAGAAACCCUAUCUCAGUCCGGAUUGGAGUCUGCAACUCGACUCCAUGAAGUCGGAAUCGCUAGUAAUCGCAGAUCAGCAUUGCUGCGGUGAAUACGUUCCCGGGCCUUGUACACACCGCCCGUCACACCAUGGGAGUUUGUUGCACCAGAAGCAGGUAGCUUAACCUUCGGGAGGGCGCUUGCCACGGUGUGGCCGAUGACUGGGGUGAAGUCGUAACAAGGUAGCCGUAUCGGAAGGUGCGGUUGGAUCACCUCC
rnacentral:rRNA from 1 species